CUACUCCAUGGCUGACGGUAGGAAGUCAGGGCACGGUGCAGCAUGGCAGCUCAUAAUGGUAUAGACAGGAAUAAAGAGACAUGGAGGAGCAACCCAGUGGUGUACAUGUAAUAUACUACCCCUGAUAAUUUUUGCCCUUCCUUUGCCACCACUGCCGCCACCUGUAGUGUAUGUGCUACCCAGCCCCCUGCACCCGUGCUCAUGUACCCCCUUCCCUGCUGUGCCCACCGCAGUGUUGAGAAUUGCAGAGCACAGCGGCAUCACCAGAAUGAGCCACAGUGAAUACAUAGUCCAGGCAGACACUGCCUGCCAGACCCACCACCCAGAUGCAGCAUCUCAGGUGAUACAUAGAAAACUUUCAUGGCCGGAAAUCACAGACCAAGACCAACAAGGAUAAAAAGCAGCAAGUUAUUUAGCGUAUACUGUGUAAUCUCCUAUAGAAAACACUGUAUAGUUUAGUUAAGUAAUGUACAGAUUUAUAGAUAGUGUAUAGUGUAUAGAUAAAGAUCUCAAUAGAUAUUGUUUAAAUAGUGUAUAGGUAGAUCGAUAGAUAUUGUAUAGAAUUAUAUAGAAAAUAGUGUUUAGUUAUUGUAUAUAGAUAAUGUAAUACAAAGCUGUUUUUAUAAGUGCUGGGGAGGAAAAUCCUGACUUUUUUUGUUUUUAUACUAUUUUUUGAUUUUCCUAUUUAUUUUAAAUUUUCUUUAGUUUAUUUAUUAUGUAAAUACUUUUUUUACUUAUGCCUUUUUGAUAAAAAAGAAAAGCACCACCCUUUUUGAAUAAAGUUUUGUAACUUUUUUGUCUGUA